CCCCGCACGCAACAUUCCGACUAAAAAAACCAUUAAAAUAGCCAAACCACCUCAAAGAAUAAAAAAGUUCCUUUUAGAAACUAACUCAAAGAGAGUUUUUCCGUACGUGUGAUCAUCAAAAACGUUCCGAUGGAAAUUCUUGAAUGAGAAAUCGAGGGCAAUAAAUAUUACCUCAUAAAACAGUAAUGUAUUCAAUAGAAGCAGAUGUUAUUUUGCAGAAAUUAUAUAUAGGACAUAGGACGAUUAAAUAGCCAAUCUGCCUUGAGCAAUUUUUAUCAAGAGUUUUGCUGUGAUACUGAUCAUCAAAAACGUUCCAAUGGAAAUUACUGAAUGAGAAAUAAAUAUCAUCUCAAAAACAGUAAUGUAUUGAAUAGAAGUACAUGUUAUUUAUUUUACGGAAAUCAUAUACUACACGAAUACUAUGGGAAGAAAGAACAUACCGACGUUUGAUCCUGAAUAAAAUACUUUUGAGAUACUAAUAACCAAAAUCGUAUAUUCCACUUCAAUUCCAAAAACAUUCUGAAAUCCUUUUAUCAUAGAUUUCUAAGUACAUAUUACUGUAUACAAGUAUACUAUACAAUUAUGUUUCGUUUUGAUAUCUGCGGUGCAACCAUCCGAAAAUGGCAUCGCUACAUACUAAAUUCAAUAAACUAUAUACAUAUAUUUACAAACUUAUAAUAAAUUAAAUUAAUUGAAAGUUUCGUUUUGAUGUCUACGGUACACCCAUCAGAAAAUGAUUAGGUCAUAUGCGAAGACACCAAGAUUAUUGAAAAAAAAAUACGUUUUUAGCGACAACAACUAACUACCUUCGUAGUUGUAUGAUAUUCCAGCAUGGAGUCACUAAGCGAAAUCUUGCUAAAGCUAUUGAUUACUUAAUCGUACAAUUCCUUCUGGAGACCUAUAGAUCCUGCCAGGCAUACAAAAAAGAGCGCUUUAUACUACAGAUGAUGCAGAAGUACUUUAUCGACACAGAAUCUUAGUGAAAUUGUAGUAAUCCUGCAAUACUCCAGCAUCGAAAGUAAUCUCGGCUAGCGAGAGCAUUGGAGCUCUCUCCUUCUGAGCUAAGUAAAAGCGAUAUUACCUUCGUUUUGUACCUUACUUUUGAAUAAAUAAAACAAAAUGACCAGUAUUAUUGUCAAUACUUGGCAAUUUGGUGGUAGUUAAAUACCAAAGCGUACAAGGAACAAUGUUUGCAUCAUUUGAACGAACGGAACUUAUCCCAAAAAAAACGUUCCGAAGAAGCUGAAGUAGACAUGAAACCAGGGCCGUACCGGCUUGAGCGCGGCCACUAACUGCACGGAAUACCAGAUAAGACACCACUCCAGACCCCAUGAGAAGCCCGACUACUCCAACCUUUCAACCUCUCGCCAGUGGCAGGCAGCGAAAUGAAACCGCCAAAACCGACAUCGACUAGGAUCUUGCGACCUCGCGCCCCCAGUCGGGGACUCAGAGAUGACAUCGAACCAUAAAUAUGUGGGCUCGAAUAAUUGACCAGCAGCUUUUACACCAAAUAUCAUGACGACAAGCAACUCUCAGUUAAAAGAAAUAAUAGCAUAAUUAUCGUACAUUAAUCUUUUGAAACAUGGCACUAAUACAAAGAAAAUUUAUAAAAUUUAUAAUUUCUUUGUUGUUUUUCACACUUUGUAGAAAACUACUGCUAUGUACAUUUGAAAUCUACGUUCCCAAAAAUCCACUCCGGUAGUAUUCGUGGACGAGGGUUUUACUAACACCUUACGGUUUUCCAUCCCUAAAACUCGUUUUGACAGAAAUAUUUCCUUCAAAAUAUCACAGGUUUCGUCAAUUUUUAACCUAAAGCGACUAAAUUUCAGUGACCUUUAGAGUCCGAUUUGUGUACAUAUUUGCCUUAAACGUCGCGACGUUUCCUUUAGACGUACUAACAUUUUGUCUUUUGGUGAAAACUUAAAAACUGUACAGAAAAGAACCGGGAUUUUUAAGCGAUUCGAUGGGACGCGCCGAGUUAUUUUUGAUAUAUCGCACACCCCGAUUGGAUUUUCAUGAUUUGAAAUUAUCUUCGGAUGAGUGUACCGCAGACACCAAAGCGAAACAGAAGGCAAUAUCUUCUGGUGGUUGUAAUGCAAAAACCAAAGUAGAACAGAAGAAUUUAUCUUCGGAUGAGUGUACCGCAGACAUCAAAACGCAACAGAAGAAAUCAUCUUCUGGUGUGUGCAAUGCAGAAACUAAAGUAGAACAAGAAUGUAUCUUCGGAUGGGUAUACCGCAGACAUCAAGACGAAACAGAAGAAAUCAUCUUCUGGUGGGUGCAACGCAGAACAGAAGAAUUUAUCUUCUGGUGCGUGCAACGCAGAAA